rnacentral:rRNA from 1 species
UUUAAUUUUAGAGUUUGAUCCUAGCUCAGGAUGAACGCUGGCGGCGUGGAUAAGGCAUGCAAGUCGAAUGGGUUUAGACCCAUGGCGAACGAGGUAGUAACACGUAGGUACGUACCCUUUAGUUGGGCAUAACUAGCCGAAAGGUUAGAUAAUUCCCAAUGGUCCCUGAGACUUCGGUCGAAGGGUAAAGAUUUAUCGCUAAAGGAACGGCCUGCGACCUAUCAGCUAGUUGGUGAGGUAAUAGCU